GACGAACGCUGGCGGCGUGCUUAACACAUGCGAGUCGAACGAAGAGCGAUGGAAGCUUGCUUCUAUCAAUCUUAGUGGCGAACGGGUGAGUAACGCGUAAUCAACCUGCCCUUCAGAGGGGGACAACAGUUGGAAACGACUGCUAAUACCGCAUACGAUCUAACCUCGGCAUCGAGGAUGGAUGAAAGGUGGCCUCUAUUUAUAAGCUAUCACUGAAGGAGGGGAUUGCGUCUGAUUAGCUAGUUGGAGGGGUAACGGCCACCAAGGCGAUGAUCAGUAGCCGGUCUGAGAGGAUGAACGGCCACAUUGGGACUGAGACACGGCCCAGACUCCUACGGGAGGCAGCAGUGGGGAAUCUUCCGCAAUGGACGAAAGUCUGACGGAGCAACGCCGCGGGAGUGAUGACGGCCUUCGGGUUGUAAAGCUCGGUUAAUCGGGACGAAAGGCCUUCUUGCGAAUAGUUAGAAGGAUUGACGGUACCGGAAUAGAAAGCCACGGCUAACUACGUG
rnacentral:rRNA from 1 species